CUAUUAUUCUUUAUUUUAAAUUUUUUUUAUUUGAGUAGUGUAAAUAGUGACACACUAACUUAUAUUUGAAACUUAAAAAGCUUGGCGGUGUUAUAUAUCCAUUCAGGGGAGCUUGUUUAUUAAUUUGAUAAUCCCCAAUUAACUCUUACUUUUUUUGAAUAUAUUUAUUACAGUUUGUAUAUUGCUGUCAUCAGUUUAUUUCGUAAGAAUUAUUUAAAAAACUUGAAAGUAGAAUUUACUAAUAUAGUCAAGUCAAAAUGCAGCUAAUGGAAAAGGUUUAAAAUAAAAAUGAGCUACGAUUUAUAAUUUUUAAUUGGAUUAAAUAAUGUAAUUUUUUUUUAAAAUUGGACUUGAUAGUAAUGUAAACUAGUAGUAUGAUUACAUGAAUAAGGUUUUAUAACGCGU
rnacentral:rRNA from 1 species